rnacentral:rRNA from 1 species
UUGAACACAGGUGCUGCAUGGCCGUCGUCAGCUCGUGUCGUGAGAUGUUGGGUUAAGUCCCGCAACGAGCGCAACCCUUGUCAUUAGUUGCUACGAAAGGGCACUCUAAUGAGACUGCCGGUGACAAACCGGAGGAAGGUGGGGAUGACGUCAGGUCCUCAUGGCCCUUAUGGUAGGGCUACACACGUCAUACAAUGGCCGGUACAGAGGGCUGCCAACCCGCAGGGGGAGCCAAUCCCAGAAAACCGGUCGUAGUCCGGAUCGCAGUCUGCAACUCGACUGCGUGAAGUCGGAAUCGCUAGUAAUCGCGGAUCAGCUUGCCGCGGUGAAUACGUUCCCGGGUCUU